rnacentral:lncRNA from 1 species
UUGAAGUGCAUUAUUUUGGUCAAGGAAUUGGAUAUGAGAGGGGCCGAGAUUUAUUUUUUUUUUUUUAAGAUUUUGGGAGGGGCCGAAAUCUCAACUGAGUUUUGUGAAGAUUUAAUUUUGGAUAAAUGUAAUGUCACAAAAUUAGGAUCUAAUUUGAAGGAUCGUCAAAAUCUUCGAAAAUUAAAGAGACAAUUCGUUUAAUCAUUUAAACAAAUAAUGUGUGUAAUAAUUUAAAUUUUAAAUAACACGAAAAAAUAUUAACCUUACUAAAUUAUUAGUGUAAAACAAUAAAAAAUAUAAUUUUCGAAACAAAUAAUGUGUGUAGAAACAAAUCUAUGAUUAGUUUUAAGAGAAUCAUAAAUAUGUGGAAACAAAUAAAUAAAACAUAAAUUUUGAAAUAAAAAUAAUUUAAUCUUAAAAAAAAUUAAUUUCGAAAAAAAUAAUACUUGGAAAAAAAUGUAGGAUUAUUUUAACAAGAAACACUAAAUUAUUGGUAACAAAUCAAUAAUAAUAUUUUGAAACAAAAAAAAUAAAAAAAAUCCGGAAUAAAACUAUAUGGUUUAUAUAUAAUUUUGGAAAAUAAAAAAACCAACAAAUAAGGAAACAAAAUAACCGAAAAAUUAGGAACAAAAAAACCCAUAAAUUUUGAAAAUCAUAAAAUAGAAAAAGCAAAAC